GUCACUUUCUUACCAGCCGAUUCUUUUGCCCACUUACUUUUAGUCCAUUCCUUUGAAGUGAACAUCUUCCUCAAAUUAGUGUUUUGCUUAUGCAUCCGUUGAUGGGUAAGAAAAGUAGUCGCAAAUAUUGUGACAACAGGUGUAAUUAGUUCUCAUUCACCAGUGAAGUGCGACAACAGAUUCACCACACUCGGACGAACAUAAAUGUACCCAUUCAAAGUCACUGCCCUUUU
rnacentral:misc_RNA from 1 species